CGGGACGGGUGAGUAAUGUCUGGGAAACUGCCUGAUGGAGGGGGAUACUACUGGAACGGUAGCUAAUACCGCAUAACGUCGCAAGACCAAAGAGGGGGACCUUUGGGCCUCUUGCCAUCGGAUGUGCCCAGAUGGGAUUAGCUAGUAGGUGGGGUAACGGCUCACCUAGGCGACGAUCCCUAGCUGGUCUGAGAGGAUGACCAGCCACACUGGAACUGAGACACGGUCCAG
rnacentral:rRNA from 1 species